rnacentral:misc_RNA from 1 species
UCCGGUUUGUCACCGGCAGUCUCAUUAGAGUGCCCAACUGAAUGUAGCAACUAAUGACAAGGGUUGCGCUCGUUGCGGGACUUAACCCAACAUCUCACGACACGAGCUGACGACAGCCAUGCAGCACCUGUGUUCCCGUUCCCUUUCGGGCACAGCCGGGUUUCCCCAGCCUCCAGGACAUGUCAAGGGUAGGUAAGGUUUUUCGCGUUGCAUCGAAUUAAUCCACAUAAUCCACCGCUUGUGCGGGUCCCCGUCAAUUCCUUUGAGUUUUAACCUUGCGGCCGUACUCCCCAGGCGGUCGACUUCACGCGUUAGCUUCGUUACUGAGAGUGUCAAACCCCCAACAACCAGUCGACAUCGUUUAGGGCGUGGACUAC